GAUUGUGGGGCAAAUGGAUAAACAGUUAUGAAUGUCCAUUCGUGGUCAAGAAGGUUUCCUCUGACAGAACCUUGUUGUUGACGACCACGGAUGACGACGAUUUUCCAUCCCCUGUGAAUGCGGACGCAGUUAGAAAAUACUUCGUAGAAAGAGACCCGCUGGACGAAAAAAAAAAAGAAGAAUAAAGAGUCCAGGCAAAAAAUGGGCAUCCCGGCGAACCAAG
rnacentral:lncRNA from 1 species